rnacentral:misc_RNA from 1 species
GAAAUGCGAUAAGUAGUGUGAAUUGCAGAAUUCAGUGAAUCAUCGAAUCUUUGAACGCACAUUGCGCCUCCUGGCAUUCCGGGAGGCAUGCCUGUUCGAGCGUCAUCAAACACCAUCGUGCAAAAUGAAUUUUUGCGCGGAAGUGACGGUUGAGCGAAGAUCUUCGCACCUCGUCGAAAUAAUUGCGGGCGGAAUUUGGGAUCGGGUUCCUCGGCGUAGUGUACCAAUGCAUAUUCAUGUAACUUGCCGCGGAGUCGAGCCCGACCCACGCGUUCUCGCCGUACAAAAAACAUUAUUACUUUACAAGUUUUUGACCUCGGAUCAGGUAGGGAUACCCGCUGAACUUAA